GACGAACGCUGGCGGCGUGCUUAACACAUGCAAGUCGAACGGAAAGGCCCUGUUCUUGUGGGGUGCUCGAGUGGCGAACGGGUGAGUAACACGUGAGUAACCUGCCCUUGACUCUGGGAUAACUUCAGGAAACGGGGGCGAAUACCGGAUAGGAGCUUCUGCUGCAUGGUGGGGGUUGGAAAGUGUCGGCGGUUGGGGAUGGACUCGCGGCUUAUCAGCGUGUUGGUGGGGUAGGGGCUUACCCAGGCUUUGACGGGUAGCCGGCCUGAGAGGGUGUCCGGUCACACUGGGACUGAGAUGCGGCCCAGACUCCUACGGGAGGCAGCAGUGGGGAAUAGUGCACAGUGGGCGGAAGGCUGGUGCAGCAGCGCCGCGUGCGGGAUGACGGCCUUCCGGUUGUAAACCGCUUUCGCCUGUGACGAAGCGUGAGUGACGGUAAUUGGUAAAGAAGCACCGGCUAACUACGUG
rnacentral:rRNA from 1 species